rfam:Deltaproteobacteria bacterium RIFOXYD12_FTLL_53_23 rifoxyd3_full_scaffold_7547, whole genome shotgun sequence.
AAAGUCCAAUACCGGAAAGGUUUAGCAAUCCAUUUUUACUCCGAGUCAUGCGUUGUGCAUCGUGAGGUGUCCGGCGAAGCGUUGACAGGGGGUAGCCAUGCCGACAAAGCA